rnacentral:sRNA from 1 species
UUUUACCAAAAAAAAGAGGGAUUCAACACGAGGACUUUUUUNNNNNNNNNNNNNNNNNNNNNNNNNNNNNNNNNNNNNNNNNNNNNNNNNNUGCUGGUAUGAUCGCAUCAGUUACUACAUGCAAUGCAAUCAUAUAUAUUCUUUUUUGAAGACUUUAUGAUCCAUUUGCCGUAGGUCCCACCAGCUAUGUAGGAAUACCCUAUCUUGUUUAUAAGAGCUUUGAUACAUGCAAAAUAUUCGAAAACAAUGUCCGAACAUAUAAUUUUUGUCCCGUAAUAUAGCAAAGAUCACGAAAAGGCCAGAAAAAAUACAUUUCGGUCAAAAUUUGGAGUAGAAAAAAAGCCCUUCCUCAUUCAUUGGACAGCUCUCUUUGGGCUUUCCGAAAAGGUAUCACAUGCCAAGUUUGGCCUCACGGUCUAAACCUUAUAGACUCAUACAUUUUUCACAAAAAAAAGAAGAGAAAAACCAAAAAAAAGAGUGAUUAAACACGAGGAUUUUCCUGGAGGUCACCCAUCCUAGUACUACUCUCGCCCAAGCACGCUUAACUGCGAAGGUCUGAUGGGAUAUGGUGCAUUAGUGCUGGUAUGAUCGCAUCUGUUACUACAUGCAAUGCAAUCGUAUCUAUUCUUUUUUGAAGAUUUGAUGAUUCAUUUACCGUGGGUCCCACCAGCUAUGUAGGAAUAACCUAUCUUAUUUAUAAAAGCUUUGAUACAUGCAAAAUAUUCGAAAACAAUGUCCGAACAUAUAAUGUUCGCCCCAAAAUAUAGCAAAGACCACAAAAAUGCCAUAAAAAGUACAUUAAGGUCAAAAUUUGGAGUAGGAAAAAAAUCAAUAGGAGAAUUCCAUUUUCCUUCCCUCAUUCAUCAGAGAGCUCUCUUUGGGCAUUCCAAAAAGGUAUCACAUGCCAAGUUUGGCCUCACGGUCUAAAAGUUAUAGAGUAUUACAUUUUUAACAAAAAAAAAAGGGAAAAACCGAAAAAGAGGGAUGCAACACGAAGACUUUUCUGGAGGUCACCCAUUCUAGUACUACUCUCCCCCAAGCACGCUUAACUGUGGUGUUCUAAUAGGAUCAAGUGCAUUAGUGCUGGUAUGAUCGCAUCAGUUACUACAUGCAAUGCAAUCAUAUAUAUUCUUUUUUGAAGACUUUAUGAUCCAUUUGCCGUAGGUCCCACCAGCUAUGUAGGAAUACCCUAUCUUGUUUAUAAGAGCUUUGAUACAUGCAAAAUAUUCGAAAACAAUGUCCGAACAUAUAAUUUUUGUCCCGUAAUAUAGCAAAGAUCACGAAAAGGCCAGAAAAAAUACAUUUCGGUCAAAAUUUGGAGUAGAAAAAAAGCCCUUCCUCAUUCAUUGGACAGCUCUCUUUGGGCUUUCCGAAAAGGUAUCAUAUGCCAAGUUUGGCCUCACGGUCUAAACCUUAUAGACUCAUACAUUUUUCACAAAAAAAAGAAGAGAAAAACCAAAAAAAAGAGUGAUUAAACACGAGGACUUUCCUGGAGGUCAUCCAUCCUAGUACUACUCUCGCCCAAGCACGCUUAAUUGCGAAGUUCUGAUGGGAUCUGGUGCAUUAGUGCUGGUAUGAUCGCAUAUGUUACUACAUGCAAUGCAAUCGUAUCUAUUCUUUUUUGAAGAUUUUAUGAUUCAUUUACCGUGGGUACCACCAGCUAUGUAGGAAUAACCUAUCUUAUUUAUAAGAGCUUUGAUACAUGCAAAAUAUUCGAAAACAAUGUCCGAACAUAUAAUUUUUGUCCCGUAAUAUAGCAAAGAUCACGAAAAGGCCAGAAAAAAUACAUUUCGGUCAAAAUUUGGAGUAGAAAAAAACCCUUCCUCAUUCAUUGGACAGCUCUGUUUGAGCUUUCCGAAAAGGUAUCACAUGCCAAGUUUGGCCUCACGGUCUAAAAGUUAUAGAGUCAUACAUUUUUCACAAAAAAAAGAAGAGAAAAACCAAAAAAAAGAGUGAUGAAACACGAGGACUUUCCUGGAGGUCACCCAUCCUAGUACUACUCUCGCCCAAGCACGCGUAACUGCGAAGUUCUGAUGGGAUCUGGUGCAUUAGUGCUGGUAUGAUCGCAUCUGUUACUACAUGCAAUGCAAUCGUAUCUAUUCUUUUUUGAAGAUUUUAUGAUUCAUUUACCGUGGGUCCCACCAGCUAUGUAGGAAUAACCUAUCUUAUUUAUAAGAGCUUUGAUACAUGCAAAAUAUUGGAAAACAAUGUCCGAACAUAUAAUGUUCGCCCCAAAAUAUAGCAAAGACAACAAAAAUCCCAUAAAAAGUACAUUAAGGUCAAAAUUUGGAGUAGGAAAAAAAUCAAUAAGAGAAUUCCAUUUUCCUUCCCUCAUUCAUCGGAGAGGUCUCUUUGGGCAUUCCAAAAAGGUAUCACAUGCCAAGUUUGGCCUCACGGUCUAAAAGUUAUAGAGUAAUACAUUUUUAACAAAAAAAAAAGAGAAAAACCGAAAAAAAGAGGGAUGCAACACGAAGACUUUUCUGGAGGUCACCCAUCCUAGUACUACUCUCCCAAAGCACGCUUAACUGUGGUGUUCUGAUAGGAUCAAGUGCAUUAGUGCGGGUAUGAUCGCAUCAGUUACUACAUGCAAUGCAAUCAUAUAUAUUCUUUUUUGAAGACUUUAUGAUCCAUUUGCCGUAGGUCCCACCAGCUAUGUAGGAAUACCCUAUCUUGUUUAUAAGAGCUUUGAUACAUGCAAAAUAUUCGAAAACAAUGUCCGAACAUAUAAUUUUUGUCCCGUAAUAUAGCAAAGAUCACGAAAAGGCCAGGAAAAAUACAUUUCGGUCAAAAUUUGGAGUAGAAAAAAAACCCUUCCUCAUUCAUUGGACAGCUCUCUUUGGGCUUUCCGAAAAGGUAUCACAUGCCAAGUUUGGCCUCACGGUCUAAAAGUUAUAGAUUCAUACAUUUUUCACAAAAAAAAGAAGAGAAAAACCAAAAAAAAGAGGGAUGAAACACGAGGACUUUCCCAGAGGUCACCCAUCCUAGUACUACUCUCGCCCAAGCACGCUUAACUGCGAAGUUCUGAUGGGAUCUGGUGCAUUAGUGCUGGUAUGAUCGCAUCUGUUACUACAUGCAAUGCAAUCGUAUCUAUUCUUUUUUGAAGAUUUUAUGAUUCAUUUACCGUGGGUCCCACCAGCUAUGUAGGAAAACCUAUCUUAUUUAUAAGAUCUUUGAUACAUGCAAAAUAUUGGAAAACAAUGUCCGAACAUAUAAUGUUCGCCCCAAAAUAUAGCGAAGACCACAAAAAUGCCAUAAAAAGUACAUUAAGGUCAAAAUUUGGAGUAGGAAAAAAAUCAAUAGGAGAAUUCCAUUUUCCUUCCCUCAUUCAUCGGAGAGCUCUCUUUGGGCAUUCCAAAAAGGUAUCACAUGCCAAGUUUGGCCUCACGGUCUAAAAGUUAUAGAAUAUUACAUUUUUAACAAAAAAAAAGAGAAAAACCAAAAAAAAGAGGGAUGCAACACGAGGACUUUUCUGGAGGUCACCCAUCCUACUACUACUCUCGCCCAAGCACACUUAACUGCGGUGUUCUGAUAGGAUCAAGUGCAUUAGUGCUGGUAUGAUCGCAUCAGUUACUACAUGCAAUGCAAUCAUAUAUAUUCUUUUUUGAAGACUUUAUGAUCCAUUUGCCGUAGGUCCCACCAGCUAUGUAGGAAUACCCUAUCUUGUUUAUAAGAGCUUUGAUACAUGCAAAAUAUUCGAAAACAAUGUCCGAACAUAUAAUUUUUGUCCCGUAAUAUAGCAAAGAUCACGAAAAGGCCAGAAAAAAUACAUUUUGGUCAAAAUUUGGAGUAGAAAAAAAGCCCUUCCUCAUUCAUUGGACAGCUCUCUUUGGGCUUUCCGAAAAGGUAUCACAUGCCAAGUUUGGCCUCACGGUCUAAACCUUAUAGACUCAUACAUUUUUCACAAAAAAAAGAAGAGAAAAACCAAAAAAAAGAGUGAUUAAACACGAGGAUUUUCCUGGAGGUCACCCAUCCUAGUACUACUCUCGCCCAAGCACGCUUAACUGCGAAGGUCUGAUGGGAUAUGGUGCAUUAGUGCUGGUAUGAUCGCAUCUGUUACUACAUGCAAUGCAAUCGUAUCUAUUCUUUUUUGAAGAUUUGAUGAUUCAUUUACCGUGGGUCCCACCAGCUAUGUAGGAAUAACCUAUCUUAUUUAUAAAAGCUUUGAUACAUGCAAAAUAUUCGAAAACAAUGUCCGAACAUAUAAUGUUCGCCCCAAAAUAUAGCAAAGAUCACAAAAAUGCCAUAAAAAGUACAUUAAGGUCAAAAUUUGGAGUAGGAAAAAAAUCAAUAGGAGAAUUCCAUUUUCCUUCCCUCAUUCAUCGGAGAGCUCUCUUUGGGCAUUCCAAAAAGGUAUCACAUGCCAAGUUUGGCCUCACGGUCUAAAAGUUAUAGAGUAUUACAUUUUUAACAAAAAAAAAAGGGAAAAACCGAAAAAGAGGGAUGCAACACGAAGACUUUUCUGGAGGUCACCCAUCCUAGUACUACUCUCCCCCAAGCACGCUUAACUGUGGUGUUCUAAUAGGAUCAUGUGCAUUAGUGCUGGUAUGAUCGCAUCAGUUACUACAUGCAAUGCAAUCAUAUAUAUUCUUUUUUGAAGACUUUAUGAUCCAUUUGCCGUAGGUCCCACCAGCUAUGUAGGAAUACCCUAUCUUGUUUAUAAGAGCUUUGAUACAUGCAAAAUAUUCGAAAACAAUGUCCGAACAUAUAAUUUUUGUCCCGUAAUAUAGCAAAGAUCACGAAAAGGCCAGAAAAAAUACAUUUCGGUCAAAAUUUGGAGUAGAAAAAAAGCCCUUCCUCAUUCAUUGGACAGCUCUCUUUGGGCUUUCCGAAAAGGUAUCAUAUGCCAAGUUUGGCCUCACGGUCUAAACCUUAUAGACUCAUACAUUUUUCACAAAAAAAAGAAGAGAAAAACCAAAAAAAAGAGUGAUUAAACACGAGGACUUUCUUGGAGGUCAUCCAUCCUAGUACUACUCUCGCCCAAGCACGCUUAACUGCGAAGUUCUGAUGGGAUCUGGUGCAUUAGUGCUGGUAUGAUCGCAUCUGUUACUACAUGCAAUGCAAUCGUAUCUAUUCUUUUUUGAAGAUUUUAUGAUUCAUUUACCGUGGGUACCACCAGCUAUGUAGGAAUAACCUAUCUUAUUUAUAAGAGCUUUGAUACAUGCAAAAUAUUCGAAAACAAUGUCCGAACAUAUAAUUUUUGUCCCGUAAUAUAGCAAAGAUCACGAAAAGGCCAGAAAAAAUACAUUUUGGUCAAAAUUUGGAGUAGAAAAAAACCCUUCCUCAUUCAUUGGACAGCUCUGUUUGAGCUUUCCGAAAAGGUAUCACAUGCCAAGUUUGGCCUCACGGUCUAAAAGUUAUAGAGUCAUACAUUUUUCACAAAAAAAAAGAAGAGAAAAACCAAAAAAAAGAGUGAUGAAACACGAGGACUUUCCUGGAGGUCACCCAUCCUAGUACUACUCUCGCCCAAGCACGCGUAACUACGAAGUUCUGAUGGGAUCUGGUGCAUUAGUGCUGGUAUGAUCGCAUCUGUUACUACAUGCAAUGCAAUCGUAUCUAUUCUUUUUUGAAGAUUUUAUGAUUCAUUUACCGUGGGUCCCACCAGCUAUGUAGGAAUAACCUAUCUUAUUUAUAAGAGCUUUGAUACAUGCAAAAUAUUGGAAAACAAUGUCCGAACAUAUAAUGUUCGCCCCAAAAUAUAGCAAAGACAACAAAAAUGCCAUAAAAAGUACAUUAAGGUCAAAAUUUGGAGUAGGAAAAAAAUCAAUAAGAGAAUUCCAUUUUCCUUCCCUCAUUCAUCGGAGAGCUCUCUUUGGGCAUUCCAAAAAGGUAUCACAUGCCAAGUUUGGCCUCACGGUCUAAAAGUUAUAGAGUAGUACAUUUUUAACAAAAAAAAAAGAGAGAAACCGAAAAAAAGAGGGAUGCAACACGAAGACUUUUCUGGAGGUCACCCAUCCUAGUACUACUCUCCCAAAGCACGCUUAACUGUGGUGUUCUGAUAGGAUCAAGUGCAUUAGUGCGGGUAUGAUCGCAUCAGUUACUACAUGCAAUGCAAUCAUAUAUAUUCUUUUUUGAAGACUUUAUGAUCCAUUUGCCGUAGGUCCCACCAGCUAUGUAGGAAUACCCUAUCUUGUUUAUAAGAGCUUUGAUACAUGCAAAAUAUUCGAAAACAAUGUCCGAACAUAUAAUUUUUGUCCCGUAAUAUAGCAAAGAUCACGAAAAGGCCAGGAAAAAUACAUUUCGGUCAAAAUUUGGAGUAGAAAAAAAACCCUUCCUCAUUCAUUGGACAGCUCUCUUUGGGCUUUCCGAAAAGGUAUCACAUGCCAAGUUUGGCCUCACGGUCUAAAAGUUAUAGAUUCAUACAUUUUUCACAAAAAAAAGAAGAGAAAAACCAAAAAAAAGAGGGAUGAAACACGAGGACUUUCCCAGAGGUCACCCAUCCUAGUACUACUCUCGCCCAAGCACGCUUAACUGCGAAGUUCUGAUGGGAUCUGGUGCAUUAGUGCUGGUAUGAUCGCAUCUGUUACUACAUGCAAUGCAAUCGUAUCUAUUCUUUUUUGAAGAUUUUAUGAUUCAUUUACCGUGGGUCCCACCAGCUAUGUAGGAAAACCUAUCUUAUUUAUAAGAUCUUUGAUACAUGCAAAAUAUUGGAAAACAAUGUCCGAACAUAUAAUGUUCGCCCCAAAAUAUAGCGAAGACCACAAAAAUGCCAUAAAAAGUACAUUAAGGUCAAAAUUUGGAGUAGGAAAAAAAUCAAUAGGAGAAUUCCAUUUUCCUUCCCUCAUUCAUCGGAGAGCUCUCUUUGGGCAUUCCAAAAAGGUAUCACAUGCCAAGUUUGGCCUCACGGUCUAAAAGUUAUAGAAUAUUACAUUUUUAACAAAAAAAAAGAGAAAAACCGAAAAAAAGAGGGAUGCAACACGAAGACUUUUCUGGAGGUCACCCAUCCUACUACUACUCUCGCCCAAGCACACUUAACUGCGGUGUUCUGAUAGGAUCAAGUGCAUUAGUGCUGGUAUGAUCGCAUCAGUUACUACAUGCAAUACAAUCAUAUAUAUUCUUUUUUGAAGACUUUAUGAUCCAUUUGCCGUAGGUCCCACCAGCUAUGUAGGAAUACCUUAUCUUGUUUAUAAGAGCUUUGAUACAUGCAAAAUAUUCGAAAACAAUGUCCGAACAUAUAAUUUUUGUCCCGUAAUAUAGCAAAGAUCACGAAAAGGCCAGAAAAAAUACAUUUCGGUCAAAAUUUGGAGUAGAAAAAAAACCCUUCCUCAUUCAUUGGACAGCUCUCUUUGGGCUUUCCGAAAAGGUAUCACAUGCCAAGUUUGGCUUCACGGUCUAAACCUUAUAGACUCAUACAUUUUUCACAAAAAAAAGAAGAGAAAAACA